UACGUAGGGGGGCAAGCGUUGUCCGGAAUCAUUGGGCGUAAAGAGCCGUGUAGGCGGCCCGGUAAGUCCGUUGUGAAAGUCGAGGGCUCAACCCUCGAAUGCCGGCGGAUACUGUCGGGCUAGAGUCCGGAAGAGGCAAGUGGAAUUCCUGGUGUAGCGGUGAAAUGCGUAGAGAUCGGGAGGAACACCAGAGGCGAAGGCGGCGCCUGGACAGGUACUGACACUCAACUACGAAAGCGUGGGGAGCAAACAGG
rnacentral:rRNA from 1 species